UGGAGGUGAGGCAUAUAAUGACGUGGCCAUCAAUGCUGACAUGUCUAUUGGGAUGGGACAAUGCCCACCCUACGAUGAUCCCGGCCGCGUUGUGUUACUGCCAUUCCAA
rnacentral:sRNA from 1 species